rnacentral:rRNA from 1 species
GACAGGCGUGAAAUCCCGGGCUUAACCUGGAAUGGCGCUGUGACUGUAUAGCUAGAGUGUGUCAGAGGGGGGUAGAAUUCCACGUGUAGCAGUGAAAUGCGUAGAUAUGUGGAGGAAUACCAAUGGCGAAGGCAGCCCCUGGGAUAACACUGACGCUCAUGCACGAAAGCGUGGGGAGCAAACAGGAUUAGAUACCUGGUAGUCCACGCCCUAAACGAUGCUGACUAGUUGUUCGGGAUUUACAUCCUGAGUAACGUAGCUAACGCGUGAAGUCAGCCGCCUGGGGAGUACGGUCGCAAGAUUAAAACUCAAAGGAAUUGACGGGGACCCGCACAAGCGGUGGAUGAUGUGGAUUAAUUCGAUGCAACGCGAAAAACCUUACCUACCCUUGACAUGUCACCAACGAAGUAGAGAUACAUUAGGUGCUCGUAAGAGAAAGUGAACACAGGUGCUGCAUGGCUGUCGUCAGCUCGUGUCGUGAGAUGUUGGGUUAAGUCCCGCAACGAGCGCAACCCUUGUCUUUAGUUGCUACGCAAGAGCACUCUAAAGAGACUGCCGGUGACAAACCGGAGGAAGGUGGGGAUGACGUCAAGUCCUCAUGGCCCUUAUGGGUAGGGCUUCACACGUCAUACAAUGGUGCAUACAGAGGGUUGCCAACCCGCGAGGGGGAGCUAAUCUCAGAAAAUGCAUCGUAGUCCGGAUCGUAGUCUGCAACUCGACUACGUGAAGCUGGAAUCGCUAGUAAUCGCGGAUCAGAAUGUCGCGGUGAAUACGUUCCCGGGUCUUGUACACACCGCCCGUCAUACCAUGGGAGUGGGUUUUGCCAGAAGCCGUUAGCCUAACCGCAAGGAGGGCGACUGCCACGGCAGGGUUCAUGACUGGGGUAAAGUCGUAACAAGGUAACC